rnacentral:rRNA from 1 species
GUGAGGAAUUUUCCGCAAUGGGCGAAAGCCUGACGGAGCAAUGCCGCGUGAAGGAUGAAGGCCUAUGGGUUGUAAACUUCUUUUCUUAGAGAAGAAUAUUGACGGUAUCUGAGGAAUAAGCAUCGGCUAACUCUGUGCCAGCAGCCGCGGUAAGACAGAGGAUGCAAGCGUUAUCCGGAAUGAUUGGGCGUAAAGCGUCUGUAGGUGGCUUCAAAAGUCUCCUGUCAAAGAUCAGGGCUUAACCCUGGGACGGCAGGAGAAACUCUGAGGCUAGAGUUUGGUAGGGGCAGAGGGAAUUCCCGGUGGAGCGGUGAAAUGCGUAGAGAUCAGGAGGAACACCAAAGGCGAAAGCACUCUGCUGGGCCACAACUGACACUGAGAGACGAAAGCGAGGGGAGCAAAAGGGAUUAGAUACCCGGGUAGUCC